UAGGCUUGAUUAAUUCAUAUACUAAUUAGGUCCGUAUUUUUCUUUCUUUUCAGAAAUGACUAAUAAUUGAAAAAAAUUUACGGUAGUGCAGUACAUGCAAUUUUAAAAUUUUUAUGUAGUAAAAAUAAUGAAUUAAAUAAUUUAAUCUUAAUCAUAUGUAUAAGAUCUAAUCUUAGACUACCACAUCAAGAUCUUUGAUAUG
rnacentral:lncRNA from 1 species